CACGGAGUUAGCCGGGGCUUCUUCUGCUGGUACCGUCAUUAUCUUCCCAGCUGAAAGAGCUUUACAACCCUAAGGCCUUCAUCACUCACGCGGCAUGGCUAGAUCAGGGUUGCCCCCAUUGUCUAAGAUUCCCCA
rnacentral:rRNA from 1 species